GGGGGAAGGAUUCAUUCUGCUCUCUAGGGCAGAAAGAGAAUGGAAGGUCUGAAGGCUUGCAGAAAUAAAUGUGUGACCUGAAAGAACGAAGCAGAGAGGACUCAAGACACUGCAUUUGGGAGCCACCUCUGCUUCCAGAACACUUGUCUCUUCCAAGAGCUGGAUUCAGUAUCAAAAGGAGAAGGUAUGACAUAGCUCCACCUACAUGCAAGGGGAGCCAGGAAGUGCAAUCCCUGGCCGGGCUGCCACGUCUCAGAAACCAUUAAGCCUAUGGAAGGUCUCUGGAUUUGAUGGCAAAUGGCAGCAGAAAUGUGGAAAAGAUCAAAGUGAUGUCAAGGUUGAUCUCUGAGUUUGGCACGGCUGAACUCAAACAUCAUUUGCCAUGGACCCACAGUGUCUUCAGUAGCUGAGUGUGGUGUCAUUCCCCUAUGAUAUGUGCACUCAAUUGCUGGCCAGUUUUUGUUUUUUGUUUUUGAGAGAGUCUCGCUUUGUCUCCUAGGCUGGAGUGCAGUGGCACGAUCUCGGCUCACUGCAACCUCCGCCUCCCGGGUUCAAGUGAUUUUCCUGCCUCAGCCUCCCGAGUAGCUGAGAUUACAGGCAUGUGCCAGCAGGCCCGGCUAAUUUUUUUUGUAAUUUUAGUAGAGACGGGGUUUCGCCAUGUUGGCCAGGCUGGUCUCGAGCUCCUGGCCUCAAGUGAUCCACCUGCCUCCACCUCCCAAAGUG
rnacentral:antisense_RNA from 1 species